UAAAUAUUUGAAGCCUCACCCAAGUGUGUUUUAAUAUAAAUGCUGUGACCCUGAUGUCCUGGGGAUUGAGAGAGGAAGUGAUGUCACUGUGGGAACUGCCCUGUGGGGACAAGGACUUCCGUCAUCCUCUGCUCCUGCUCACAGUGACACUGAUCUGGUAACGCCCCCGUCCUGGUCUGACCCUGCCAUGGGCACCAGGCUCCUCUGCUGGGUGGUCCUGGGUUUCCUAGGGACAGAUCACACAGGUGCUGGAGUCUCACAGUUCCCAAGAUACAGAGUCACAAAGAGGGGACAGGAUGUAACUCUCAGGUGUGAUCCAAUUUCGGGUCAUGAGUACCUUUACUGGUACCAACAGGCCCCGGGGCAGGGCCCAGAGUUUCUGACUUACUUCCAGAAUGAUGCUCAACGAGACAAAUCAGGGCUGCCCAAUGAUCGCUUCUCUGCAGAGAGGACUGAGGGAUCCGUCUCUACUCUGAAGAUCCAGCGCACAGAGCAGGGGGACUCGGCCGUGUAUCUCUGUGCCAGUAGCUUAGCCACAGCGUGGCACAGUCACCUCCUUCCUGUUCACAAACCUCGUCCUUCUCUCUCCUUGCAGCUACUAGAGACCCUUAGCAGAGGCCUCUCUUUCAUCCUCACAUUUCAUGGGAAAGGAGUAGAUUUGGACAUCGGCUGUCCUUUGGGUAGAAAGAGACCACAGAUUCAUUCUUGAAACACAGUGACCGCAAAUGUAGGUGGUGAAAACAAUCACGGCCCACUGCACUCUAGGAGUCCUUGGAACCAGCUCACUUCUUCAAGUAAACAGUGGGUGUCUUAGCCUCGGCCUUCAGGGCAGACGUACACCUUCUAAAGGUAUUGGAGGCUGCUGUGUUACCCACAUACAUGAGGUUGACAAGGGCAGAAAACAUGCCUCUUCUUCAUAUGUUGGGACAUCUGGCAUUUGGAAGGUCUAAGGCUACAUCCCCAGGAAGAUCUUUCUUCGGAAGCUCUUCUAUCCCUGUCACCUUGGAAGUUUCUGCAACAAAAUAUCAAACAUCUCUUCCUAUUUGAAGUA